AGUUCCUACCCCCGGUGGAGGAGCUCUGGCGGCGCAGGAAGCAUUGUUGCUACCUCCAUCAGGGGCCUGUUGCCCCUGGCAAAGGGGAAACAUCUGCUGUCCAUUUCUCAUCAGAAUCCAACUGUUUUGUACCACUUGAACAGCGGCAAAUUAAAGGAUUACACUGCAGGAUUCAGCAUUAGAAAUACAGAUGUUCAGAUCUGGAGAACUACCAAAAUGACAUCCAUAAAGACAAAAGACUCAAAGUUGGGCAACUGACAAGGAAAAAAUGCACUGAAAAGGCAUCAUCAGAAAGACAGGUUGGCAAGGGCAAAAGUGCAGGCAAAACAGGAUUGUGGGAACUGACCUUAAAGAAUAUGACCGUGUUUAUGCUCAAUGUCUCUUCCAAACUGAAUUUGAAGAAACAGAAGAUUUAUUAUUCAGUAUUCCUUUAAAAGACUUCUAUCGACAAUGAAAAUGCAUACAGACUACAGAGAACAUGAUACUGCAUUGCUAGAAUUUGUACAAAGCUGAAAAUACAAUUUAAAAGUUAAGCAAAUAGGUGUGCAGUUUGGCAAUUGUUUACCCUUUUUCUUUUCAAUGAUAUAUUAUACUGUGCUAUAUCACAUGUGGGAAUGAUAAUGCUGUCUAUUUUUAAGGUUGUCUGACACAUCCCGUUAUGACAAGUCUCAGUGGGGCAGCCAUGUUAGCCUGUAUCUGCAAAAACAAUGAGGCACCUUAAAGAUGAAGUGGUUUUUAACUAUGAAAACUUAUGCCCAAAUAAAUCUGUUAGUAUUGAUGGUGCCACAGGACUUCUCAUUGACUUCCCAUAAUAAGACCCUAUUUUAAGCUGACCUCUUCAGGCUGAGUUUUUAUUUUAAAAAUUGGACAAAAAUAUUCAGCCAUUUCUGAGAACAGGCCUGGGAAAAAGUAUAAUAUUUUGCCUGUGUUAAAAAAA